rnacentral:rRNA from 1 species
AGAGUUUGAUCCUGGCUCAGAUUGAACGCUGGCGGCAUGCUUUACACAUGCAAGUCGAACGGCAGCACGGGCUUCGGCCUGGUGGCGAGUGGCGAACGGGUGAGUAAUGCAUCGGAACGUGCCCAUGUCGUGGGGGAUAACGUAGCGAAAGCUACGCUAAUACCGCAUACGCCCUGAGGGGGAAAGCGGGGGAUUCUUCGGAACCUCGCGCGAUUGGAGCGGCCGAUGUCGGAUUAGCUAGUAGGUGAGGUAAAGGCUCACCUAGGCGACGAUCCGUAGCGGGUCUGAGAGGAUGAUCCGCCACACUGGGACUGAGACACGGCCCAGACUCCUACGGGAGGCAGCAGUGGGGAAUUUUGGACAAUGGGGGCAACCCUGAUCCAGCCAUGCCGCGUGAGUGAAGAAGGCCUUCGGGUUGUAAAGCUCUUUCGGCCGGGAAGAAAUCGGCGACUCUAACAUAGUCGCUGGAUGACGGUACCGGACUAAGAAGCACCGGCUAACUACGUGCCAGCAGCCGCGGUGAUACGUAGGGUGCGAGCGUUAAUCGGAAUUACUGGGCGUAAAGCGAGCGUAGGUGGCUUGAUAAGUCAGA